GCGUCACUAACUUUAUCGUUAAUUAUUCGGAGUAGGGUCGAAUUUAAUCUGAUGUAUUGUUUCUUGAAUGCUGCUAUGUUUCUGUGAUUGAUACGUUUAUCAACAAGUGAACGAACGGAGUUGAAUGCAUUAGAGUAUCUUAAACUGAGACCAUGACAAGAGCUAGUGGAGCACAUGCAGCACUUAAACAUGAUUUGCGAUACAAAAACUUCUCGUAGGUUACCAUUCAAGGAGGUAGUUUGGAGAACAGUGUGAAAUCAAUAACGUGCGCUGCGUCGACCGAUCAUCGAUGAAACGGAAGAAAACAAACGCAGAGAAGACAUAAAGGACGACAGAGCGUAUACGUUAAAGAGAUUGGCCUGUCAUAAUCUAUGCCGCUGAGUAAUCAGUGUUGGGUUGUGUUCUGCUACAAUGGCUUUCAAAAAAAGAUGACCAGAAAAAAUCCCAUCCCAAAAAGGUGACAUCAUCCUCUUUGCCAAAGAAAGAUGACGACCGCCGCACCUGGAAUACCUGAGGUGCAUAACGUGGGCCAAAUGGAAGAUGGAAAUUGUGGAGAUGUGGCAGAGAGAGCCUGGAAAUUGACUUUCGACAGCAUCCAUCCUAAUACCAAGACUGUUUACUGUCAAACUUCAUCCAAUAAUCUCAGUGGGAUUAAUUGAAGGCGGAAAGCAAGAGGGAGCGAGAAGUGGAAAGACGUGGAAAACAGGGGAAACAUGGAAAAACAAUCUCUUGCGUCCUCGAGGGAUGGAGUGAUGUGAAGAACUUGUCUGAGGGUGUUGAACAGAGAUGCUUAGAAAUUCUCUUCUCCACCUGAGUGAAGAGUCAAGGUCAUACACAGGCCAGGAUUCAUUAACAUCAGCCCAAAUCACAGCAGCACCCGUGAAACACAAAAACAGGUGUGUUUGAAGAAAGCAUAGUGAAACUACACUAUUUAAAGAGAUAGCUUUUCCAAAAUUCAAAAUCUGUUAUCAUUUGCUCGCCCUAAUGUUGUAUAACUUACACACUGCUAUUUCACAAAAGCAGACUGUGACCAAAUUAAUUUAACCUCCAAAAAAGACACAAAAGCACCAUAAAAGUAUUCCGUAUGACUCAUGUACUAUAUAUACCAAGUCUUCUGAAGUCAUUUAACACAGCAAAAUGUUAUUCACUUCUCAUGUUGCCCUCUGCUGUAGGAGUCAAAUCUCAUUCACUUGGACUAGUUAGGAGAUGCGGCAAAUGUGACAGGCAAAUGCAAAAUGAGUCAUGAUUAGUGUUUUUUAUUGUUAACUGAAACUAAAGCUAUUAAAAUCAGUUUGGUAUAUGUAUAUUAGAUGAAAUGCUUAAAUUAAAAAGUUAGAAAUGUUGCCUUAGUCUUUCUAUAUUUAUAUAUUACUUGUUCCUGGAGAGCAAGAAUAUCUUGCAGUUAAUAAAUAAAUUGAUCUACAGGACAAAAAAUUUCCUUUAUUAUUAAACGAAAUUCAUCCUUGGUGUGAAAAGUUCAUACAAAAGCAUUGUUUUUUAGCAAGGUUUUUCUCUCACUGGGAAUUGGCCUUUGCACAGCUUGAAUCAUUUGCCUGGAAGAUUUCUCAGAAAGAUUUGAACUCCUGAUAAUUGCCAGAGUGUUAGAUAUAAAACAUUUGACAAAACCUUUUUACUGUUUUUUAAUAUAUAAUAUAAAUUAGUUUUUACUUGUUUUUAUAUUAUUUUAUAUUUUAUUUUAUUUUAUUUUAUACAGUUUCUGGUCCUCAAAUCUGAUUGGCUAAUAAGAGUGCGAUAUUAGUGUCCAACAGAACUCCAAUAGCUGCAUCACUCCACUUGCAGUACUUCUUACAGCAAGUGUCAUGGCAGACGCUCAUAUCCUCUAAUUUAAAAAAUAUUACUGUUUUUGUCUCAUGGAAUGUAGUUUUAAGAGGUUUUCAGGUGAAAAUGUACUUGUUUAUAGUUCAAAUAUGCCGUUUGGUGAUAAAGUUAUCAUCUAUUUGAAAAUUUGCGUCAAUGUUUUCAGACAUGUGAGUUGAGAGAAGCCUCACCUUGGCCAGAUAUUCUGGAAUUUACUGCUGGCUCUGCUGUCUAGUGGUUAAACAUUAGAUAUAAUUUGUUUUGGGUAAAUCUAAUGGGCAGUCUUUGAUCUCAUUAAUCUAAUGUUUGUUCUAGAGCAAAUAGUUUUGGCAAAAUCUCAACAUGUUUAUGUAAAUUCAGUGCUGUAUAUCAG